CUCCUCCCCACGACCUCCACCAACUCCCUGCUCGCCUCCAAGCCAGCCACCUCCCUGGACCCCAAUUCCCUCCCCGCACCGCCCCACCUCCCUCCCCACCUUCUCCGGCACGACGCGCCCCUACCCUCCCCACCUUCUCUGGCGGCACCGCCCACCACCACCUCCGACCGCGUCCCACAAGAACCACCUUCUAUGCUGGUCGCCGCCCUCCUCUUUCUCCCGCGCCAUCGAGCGGUCAUGGCGGGAUCCGGACGCCCUCUGCCACCGGCGCGGCCGCAGCCACCAGAUCUGGCCGUCGUGGCCAUUGGUGCAUCCACGACGACGGAUCUGGCUGCUCCAACCCUCAGAGUAGAAGCCCCCCGCUCAUUCAGCCAGGCGCUGGAUCCGUCGAGAUCCGCACGGGGGUACUAUGAAGUGGGUCUCUAUGGGGCGACGGCCUUCUUCUCCACCGACGGCCAACAUCAACGCCAAGCUCCACCCUCUCCCUAAUCUCCCUCGGUGGCGGCGCCCCUCGCCUGCAGCCGGCGCCUCCAGCAGCGCUGCCCUGUCAUGCAUGGACAGCGAUCCAACUUAGCCAGGCCACGCGAGGAUGCAGCCGGCCAAGCCACAUCGUCGUCAUCCUCGUCUUUGGCCAUCACUGCUCGGAUUUGCACCACCACUGGUGCCUCAUCGCACACCUGUCCACCGCCAAGGGCCGAGGAGGAGUCCAGGCGGCCUUCAUCUCCUCUCUGAGAGGAGCCGCACGGCAGGGGAGGGGAGGGUCUGACUGCGGGGGUCACGGAGGAGCUGCUUGCCAGGGCGCGACAGCUCGGAUCUAUCGCCGACCAGCGUAUGGAAAGGCUGGUGGUGGUCGUGGUGGCUCGUAGGCCCCGGCCCGCCGGCGCACAGGAGGGAGAUGUGGGCUGUAGGAGGGUGGUGAUGGCACCCUCGCCUGGAUCCGGGAGGAGCUGGGUAGGAGUGGGUGGCAGCGACCACCCACCGCAUCACUGGCCUCUGUGCAGCUCGGUUGCCGCUCCCCGUGCAGCUCGCAUGCCGCCCCCGUGCAACUCACCUCCCGCGAGCAAACUCUCUCUGGCGAGUCCAUCUCGUGUCCGCACCACUUGUUGUGUCAGUUCGAUUACAUGGAUCGGUUUCAGUGCGAGAGCGCAGCAGCACUCCCACGAAAGGACCUAGUGCGGUUCAUUAGCUUAUUCUAAAUUAUUGAAAAAUCCUGCAGUCCUGUUUCUAAUUAGUAACAAAACAGUUUGAGUGCAGUUUUUUGAUUAUUUUGCAGCAGCACUUCCAUUCAACCCGCAGGUCGUUUCCAACACAAAACGUGCAUUUUGGAUGCGCGUGGUGUUUUGUUUCACCUCGUGACAGAAUGCAACCCAGGUCGUCACUCGGUGCAGUCAACCUCGCCAUGCGAUGACGUACACCGACGUCUCCAAGCAGUUCUGACGACCAGCUCGCGUGAGCCCGCAACUCCCCGACUUUCUUUGUUGUGGGUCGUAUGAAUUACAGUGUGGCUCAGAUCAUACCAUGAAGUUUGGAGCAUGUGAACAUGCAGUGUAAAAUGGUGCAUUUUGUUUUUGAGGGGUUUAUGUAUAAAAAUUACAGGGACUUUAUUUGAA